CCUACGGUGGGCUGCAGUGGGGAAUAUUGGACAAUGGGCGAAAGCCUGAUCCAGCCAUGCCGCGUGUGUGAAGAAGGCCUUCGGGUUGUAAAGCACUUUCAGUGGGGAAGAAAGCCUUGGGGCUAAUACCCUCGAGGAAGGACAUCACCCACAGAAGAAGCACCGGCUAACUCCGUGCCAGCAGCCGCGGUAAUACGGAGGGUGCGAGCGUUAAUCGGAAUUACUGGGCGUAAAGCGCGCGUAGGCGGUCUGAUAAGCCGGUUGUGAAAGCCCCGGGCUCAACCUGGGAACGGCAUCCGGAACUGUCAGGCUAGAGUGCAGGAGAGGAAGGUAGAAUUCCCGGUGUAGCGGUGAAAUGCGUAGAGAUCGGGAGGAAUACCAGUGGCGAAGGCGGCCUUCUGGACUGACACUGACGCUGAGGUGCGAAAGCGUGGGUAGCAAACAGGAUUAGAUACCCCUGUAGUC
rnacentral:rRNA from 1 species